rnacentral:rRNA from 1 species
CCUACGGGUGGCAGCAGUGAGGAAUAUUGGUCAAUGGGCGCGAGCCUGAACCAGCCAAGUCGCGUGAGGGAAGACGGUCCUAUGGAUUGUAAACCUCUUUUGUCGGGGAGCAAAAGACGUCACGUGUGGCGCCACUGAGAGUACCCGGAGAAAAAGCAUCGGCUAACUCCGUGCCCGCAGCCGCGGUAAUACGGAGGAUGCGAGCGUUAUCCGGAUUUAUGGGGUUUAAAGGGUGCGUAGGCGGAUCGUUAAGUCAGUGGUCAAAUUGAGGGGCUCAACCCCUUCCCGCCAUUGAAACUGGCGCUCUUGAGUGGAAGAGAAGUAUGCGGAAUGCGUGGUGUAGCGGUGAAAUGCAUAGAUAUCACGCAGAACCCCGAUUGCGAAGGCAGCAUGCCGGCUUCCGACUGACGCUGAAGCACGAAAGCGUGGGGAUCGAACAGGAUUAGAUACCCUGGUAGUC